UACGUAGGGUGCGAGCGUUAAUCGGAAUUACUGGGCGUAAAGCGUGCGCAGGCGGUUCGUUGUGUCGGCGGUGAAAGCCCCGGGCUUAACCUGGGAAUGGCCGUUGAAACUGGCGAACUGGAGUGUGGCAGAGGGGGGGUGGAAUUCCGCGUGUAGCAGUGAAAUGCGUAGAGAUGCGGAGGAACACCGAUGGCGAAGACAGCCCCCUGGGCUGACACUGACGCUCAGGCACGAAAGCGUGGGGAGCAAACAGG
rnacentral:rRNA from 1 species